UACAGAGGGUGCAAGCGUUGUUCGGAAUUAUUGGGCGUAAAGCGCGUGUAGGCGGCCUUGCAAGUCGGGUGUGAAAGCCCUCAGCUCAACUGAGGAAGUGCGCCCGAAACUGCAGAGCUUGAGUGCCGGAGAGGAUGGCGGAAUUCCCCAAGUAGAGGUGAAAUUCGUAGAUAUGGGGAGGAACACCGGUGGCGAAGGCGGCCAUCUGGACGGCAACUGACGCUGAGACGCGAAAGCGUGGGGAGCAAACAGG
rnacentral:rRNA from 1 species